rnacentral:rRNA from 1 species
GAUGAACGCUGGCGGCGUGCCUAAUACAUACAAGUCGAGCGAAUUGAUUAUGAGCUUGCUCUUAUGAAGUUAGCGGCGGACGGGUGAGUAACACGUGGGUAACCUGCCCAUAAGACUGGGAUAACUCCGGGAAACCGGGGCUAAUACCGGAUAACAUUUUGAACCGCAUGGUUCGAAAUUGAAAGGCGGCUUCGGCUGUCACUUAUGGAUGGACCCGCGUCGCAUUAGCUAGUUGGUGAGGUAACGGCUCACCAAGGCAACGAUGCGUAGCCGACCUGAGAGGGUGAUCGGCCACACUGGGACUGAGACACGGCCCAGACUCCUACGGGAGGCAGCAGUAGGGAAUCUUCCGCAAUGGACGAAAGUCUGACGGAGCAACGCCGCGUGAGUGAUGAAGGCUUUCGGGUCGUAAAACUCUGUUGUUAGGGAAGAACAAGUGCUAGUCGAAUAAGCUGGCACCUUGACGGUACCUAACCAGAAAGCCACGGCUAACUACGUGCCAGCAGCCGCGGUAA